GUCUACGGCCACGCCCCCCUGAACAAGCCCGAUCCUGUCUGAUCUCGGAAGCUCGGCAGGGUCGGGCCUGGUUCAUACUUGGAUGGGAGACCACCUAGGAAGACCAGGUGCUGUAGGUG
rnacentral:rRNA from 1 species